rnacentral:lncRNA from 1 species
GAAUGUCACCCGCGGUCCGGAGCAGAUAGGAUGGGCUGGGAAGGUACCCGCGAACUGCCGCCGGAAUUCGCUGGCAGCUGUGCGAGGCUCAGGUGUUCUAGUUUGACAUUUCCCUUCCUGAAAGCGGCAAGGAGAGGUCUAAGAGUGGGCAAACUUCAACGUUCGGUUACAGUGUAAUUAAUGAGAGUGGUGGGUUUUUAUGCAGUGUAAUUAUGCCACGAUUUGUUGUUGCUCAGUGGCUUUUUCACAAAUUUCUACAGAUUAUUUAAAUUUUCCACAAAUUUCUACGGAUUAAUUCAAUGGCAGCUCACUUUCUCCUUUUAUGAUCGGAUGGGUCCGAAAGUGAGGAAAAAGACAAUUGUCUACAAAGAAAGAGGCUGCCAAGUGGAGACAGAAAAGCAGUUAUGAGACUGAUGAUAGAUUCCAAUUUGUUAUCGUACACGGGUGCUCUAGAUUUUCCUAUCAAUAGAGGGCGUCCUCGAGUCAUUGCAAAUCCUGGUGUCGUUAAACGGAACUGUUCUUCAGAGGAAAAACUUCAUCUCUAUAAGAAAGGAAGGAGGAGACCUGAACAGUACAUCCGGAGAAUCCAGCAAAGCAUACUACGGCAUGAACGUGCAAGUGGACAGAAUUAAAACACAUGCCAGAAACACUAAUGGAUUCUAAACAAGAUGCAGUUUCAUUUCCUGA